rnacentral:rRNA from 1 species
AGCGAACGCUGGCGGCAGGCCUAACACAUGCAAGUCGAGCGCACCCUUCGGGGCGAGCGGCGGACGGGUUAGUAACGCGUGGGAAUGUACCCUUUUCUACGGAAUAGCCAUUGGAAACGAUGAGUAAUACCGUAUACGCCCUCUGGGGGAAAGAUUUAUCGGAGAAGGAUCAGCCCGCGUUAGAUUAGAUAGUUGGUGGGGUAAUGGCCUACCAAGUCUACGAUCUAUAGCUGGUUUUAGAGGAUGAUCAGCAACACUGGGACUGAGACACGGCCCAGACUCCUACGGGAGGCAGCAGUGGGGAAUCUUAGACAAUGGGCGAAAGCCUGAUCUAGCCAUGCCGCGUGAGUGAUGAAGGUCUUAGGAUCGUAAAGCUCUUUCGCUAGGGAUGAUAAUGACAGUACCUAGUAAAGAAGCCCCGGCUAACUCCGUGCCAGCAGCCGCGGUAAUACGGAGGGGGCUAGCGUUGUUCGGAAUUACUGGGCGUAAAGCGUACGUAGGCGGAUCAGAAAGUAUGGGGUGAAAUCCCAGGGCUUAACCCUGGAACUGCCUCAUAAACUCCUAAUCUAGAGUUCGAGAGAGGUGAGUGGAAUUCCGAGUGUAGAGGUGAAAUUCGUA